UACAGAGGCCACAAGCGUUAGGCGGAAUCACUGGGCUUAAAGCGUGUGUAGGCGGGUUGAUAAGUACUUUGUGAAAUCCCACGGCUUAACCGUGGAAUUGCUUGGUAUACUAUCGAUCUUGAGUCAUCUAGAGGUAACCGGAACAGAUGGUGGAGCGGUGAAAUGCAUAGAUAUCAUCUGGAACGCCAAUGGUGCAGACAGGUUACUGGGGAUGUACUGACGCUGAGGCACGAAAGCCAGGGGAGCAAACGGG
rnacentral:rRNA from 1 species